CCUACGGGAGGCUGCAGUGGGGAAUAUUGGACAAUGGGCGAAAGCCUGAUCCAGCCAUGCCGCGUGUGUGAAGAAGGCCUUCGGGUUGUAAAGCACUUUCAGUGGGGAAGAAAGCCUUGGGGCUAAUACCCUCGAGGAAGGACAUCACCCACAGAAGAAGCACCGGCUAACUCCGUGCCAGCAGCCGCGGUAAUACGGAGGGUGCGAGCGUUAAUCGGAAUUACUGGGCGUAAAGCGCGCGUAGGCGGUCUGAUAAGCCGGUUGUGAAAGCCCCGGGCUCAACCUGGGAACGGCAUCCGGAACUGGCAGGCUAGAGUGCAGUAGAGGAAGGUAGAAUUCCCGGUGUAGCGGUGAAAUGCGUAGAGAUCGGGAGGAAUGCCAGUGGCGAAGGCGGCCUUCUGGACUGACACUGACGCUGAGGUGCGAAAGCGUGGGUAGCAAACAGGAUUAGAUACCCCGGUAGUC
rnacentral:rRNA from 1 species